rnacentral:rRNA from 1 species
CCUACGGGGGGCUGCAGUCGGGAAUUUUGGGCAAUGGGCGAAAGCCUGACCCAGCAACGCCGCGUGAAGGAUGAAGUAUUUCGGUAUGUAAACUUCGUAAGAAUGGGAAGAAUAAAUGACGGUACCAUUUGUAAGGUCCGGCUAACUACGUGCCAGCAGCCGCGGUAAUACGUAGGGACCAAGCGUUGUUCGGAUUUACUGGGCGUAAAGGGAGCGUAGGCGGCGUGACAAGUCACUUGUGAAAUCUCCGGGCUUAACUCGGAGCUGCCAAGUGA